UGGGGAAUCUUGCGCAAUGGGCGAAAGCCUGACGCAGCAACGCCGCGUGCGGGAUGAAGGCCUUCGGGUUGUAAACCGCUUUCAGUGGGGACGAAAACAGACGGUACCCACAGAAGAAGCUCCGGCCAACUACGUGCCAGCAGCCGCGGUAACACGUAGGGGGCGAGCGUUGUCCGGAAUCAUUGGGCGUAAAGAGCUCGUAGGCGGCUCGGUAAGUCGGGUGUGAAACCCUCAGGCUCAACCUGGGGACGCCACCCGAUACUGCUGUGGCUAGAGUCCAGUAGGGGAGUGUGGAAUUCCCGGUGUAGCGGUGAAAUGCGCAGAUAUCGGGAGGAACACCAGCGGCGAAGGCGGCACUCUGGGCUGGUACUGACGCUGAGGAGCGAAAGCGUGGGUAGCAAACAG
rnacentral:rRNA from 1 species